UCCCUCGGGAAACUGAGGUUAAUAUCUGAUAGGAGAUUUAUACUGGAAGGAUUAAUCUUUAAAAUUCGAGCCUAAGGAUGGGGCUGCGGUGGAUUAGGUUGUUGGCGGGGUAAUAGCCCACCAAGCCGUUGAUCCAUAGGGGCUCUUAGCGGAGAAGCCCCGAGAGGGAAUCUGAGACACUAUUCCCAGCCCUACGGGGUGCAGCAGUUAGGAAUAUUCUGCAAUGCGCGUAAGCGUGACAGAUUGAGUCAGAGUGCGCUUCAAUUUGGAGUGCUUUUGCCAAAUGUAAAAAGUUUGGCGAAUAAGGACUGGGUAAGACGAGUGCCAGCCGCCGCGGUAAUACUCGCGGUCCAAGUCGCAGCCAUUUUUAUUGGGUCUAAAACAUCCGUAGCUUGCUUGGUGAGUUCCUUGUGAAAUUCUAUAUCUCAAAUAUGGAGCGUGCAGGGAGUACUGCCAAGCUAGAGACUGGAAGACGUAACGAGUACGUUCGGAGUAGCGGUAAAAUGUGUUAAUCCCGGACGGACUAACAAUAGCGAAGGCACGUUACGAGGACAGUUCUGACAGUCAGGGAUGAAGGCUAGGGGCGCAAAACGGAUUAGAUACCCGUGUAGUCCUAGCAGUAAACACUGCACACUAAACAUUAGUACCUCCUCGAGAGGUAUUGGUGCUGAAGGGAAGCCGAAGAGUGUGCUACCUGGGAAGUAUAGUCGCAAGGCCGAAACUUAAAGGAAU
rnacentral:rRNA from 1 species